rnacentral:rRNA from 1 species
UACGUAGGGACCAAGCGUUGUUCGGAUUUACUGGGCGUAAAGGGCGCGUAGGCGGCAAUUCAAGUCAUCUGUGAAAUCUCCGGGCUUAACCCGGAACGGUCAGGUGAUACUGUCUUGCUAGAGUGCGGAAGGGGCAAUCGGAAUUCUUGGUGUAGCGGUGAAAUGCGUAGAUAUCAAGAGGAACACCUGAGGUGAAGACGGGUUGCUGGGCCGACACUGACGCUGACAGCGCGAAAGCCAGGGGAGCAAACGGG